AUGUUAUUAUCUCCACUUUACAGUUGAGGGGAAGCAAAGAGAGGCUACGUGACCUGUCCAGGCUUCUGACUGGGAAGGGAAGAUACUACCAAGGCAAAGCCCUGUGAGACAGAAGCUAAGAAAGCAAUCAACAUGCAAGAAUCCAAGUCCACUAGUGGGAAAAAGAACAAGCAGCAGCAAACAAAAUCUUGACCCUGCAUAACUUCUAUGGAGAAAAAGAGAAAAAUACAGAAGCAACAGCAGAGAGUGACAAACAAGCAAAUGCAUCCAAACUCCAAAAAAAAAAAAAAGGAAA